rnacentral:SRP_RNA from 1 species
UCGCGCUAGGUGGGGAGUCAGCGGUUCCCUGAACCCGAAAUCCGCUCCAGCGGGACCGAACGCCGUCCGAGGGCGGCGGUCACGGGCAUGGGUCAUCGACACGUGGCGUUGACGGUCGGGUCCCGCGCACUGGGAGCGUUCGAACCGCGUCAGGUCCGGAAGGAAGCAGCGCUAAGGACUCCCUCCCAGGUGCCGCGGCACCGCCCGGCCCGAGCAGGCGGCGGCGACACCACCCGGGAUCGCCUGCACGACGACGGAGCGCGC